rnacentral:lncRNA from 1 species
GAUGAAUGCCUUUCACUUCUGGGGGGACAUUAUCGCAUCGUUGGACAUUUUUUGCUGGAUCUAAUCCACUAAGAUGGUACUUAAGUCGUGUCACUCCGCCACUCUUCAUUACCCGACCACAAUAUUUGCAAAUUGUGCCAUAUUUGUUUCCGUCUAUUAGGUAUCCAUGUUCCCAAGCUGGAUCACGUUUAGUAGCUCCACUGGACAUCGUAUAAGUACCUACAUUUAUUUUUCAUGAAAAUUAAACAAAUAUUUUUUGGCCAAAAAAUAUAGUAGUGAUGACGGUUAUAUAAGAGAACCUAAAUAAUAAAGUUAUUCUACAGAAGAAUUAAAUAUGAAGUAAAGAAAAUGAUUGUAAAAAUUUAAGUAAUUACAAAAAUAAUAUGGAAUAAUAAAACCUAAUAUUAAUGAAUAAUAAUCCAAUUUGAUAAAAAAAUA